UAAGGAAUAUUGGGCAAUGGACGCAAGUCUGACCCAGCCAUGCCGCGUGGAGGAUGAAGGUCCUCUGGAUUGUAAACUUCUUUUAUCUGGGAAGAAAUCCAUAAAUUCUUUUAUGGUUGACGGUACCAGAUGAAUAAGCACCGGCUAACUCCGUGCCAGCAGCCGCGGUAAUACGGAGGGUGCAAGCGUUAUCCGGAUUCACUGGGUUUAAAGGGUGCGUAGGCGGGCAGGUAAGUCAGUGGUGAAAUCCCCGAGCUUAACUCGGGAACUGCCAUUGAUACUAUUUGUCUUGAAUACCGUGGAGGUGAGCGGAAUAUGUCAUGUAGCGGUGAAAUGCUUAGAUAUGACAUAGAACACCCAUUGCGAAGGCAGCUCACUACGCGGUCAUUGACGCUGAGGCACGAAAGCGUGGGGAUCAAACAGG
rnacentral:rRNA from 1 species